rnacentral:other from 1 species
UACUCCAAGGACUAGGUUAUCUUCAGGAUGAAGAUUCGAUUAUUCAGGAUGAGUAGUCGGCAAGGAUAGCGAAAUGGACAUUGAAUGGACGCAAUAGUAACUAGGAUGGUUACUACUAUGGAAAGACAAUGGACACCUCUGGAUGAGGCAAGGACUGAACAUCAGGAUGAUGUAAGGGACACCGCUCAAGGAAUAAGUGAAGCGCGCUAACGAGGAUUGUUGGCAGACCAGGAUAAGGUCAUGGACACCGCUAGGAUGGCGACGAAAGGAAUACGCUGAAGGAUUACAGCACACUAUCAAGGAUUAGAUGCAUGGAGCACCUAUAGUAGCCGGAUUGCUGCGAGUAAGACUAUAGACCCCGACGAGCGCAAGCUCUCGGGGUUUUUCUUUAUGUUC